rnacentral:lncRNA from 1 species
UAGCAAGUCUGAUGACAAACCUCAGAAGGGCAUGUUGGCUUUCUGUUAACUGAUUGCUUGCAGAGGAUCUGAGGGACAUUCCUGCUGGGCUCCUGGCUCGGGUCCACCCUGGCUGCAUUUUCCCUUCUGGACACUUCUGGCCCUGGAAGCACAUACAGCGUCACCAUGGUGACUCUGGGACAGACGCUUGCUGUGAAAAGAGCAGGGGAUAAAGUCCCUCCUCUGAAGCUUUCUUAGGAGGGACGGAGGCCUUUGAAAGCUUUCAGAAUCACCCCGUUUCAUCUCCGGGCUUUGACACAGAGGCAGCCUCCUCAGUCGUCAACAUAGAAUCCGUCCCCUUUACUUUUGCUUUGCUGGUGAAAGUGAAUGAAAGCAGUCGAAGAUCUGAAGAAGACUCUCCAGGAUGACCAGCCUCACACCCCAAAGCCCCUCCUUAGGAUGGUUAGCCGGUCGACAGGUGGGAGGCGGCACUGAUGGUGAUCAGGGCUCUCCACCCUGGACUGUUAAGCUCCCUGUUCUCGCACCGAGACUUCUCACUUCUCUCUGAAUCCAGAUGAAAAAAAUGAUCAGCCCGGGAGAGAAUGGAGAAGGAUGGCUUCUUGGAGGAGCAGAGUCUUCAUGGAAGUAAGGACUGCGGACCGGCAGAGAGGAGGCUGAAGGCACUACCACAGGCUCAAAUUUGGGUCUGGUUAUGGGAAGAAGUAUUUGCUAACCAUAUAUCUGAUGAGGGGUUGCUAUCCAAAAUAUACAGGGAACUCAUACAGCUCAAUAACAAAAAAUAAACAAUGCAAUUUAAAAAUGGGCAAAAGACCGGAAUAGACAUUUUUCCAAAGAAGAUACAUGAAUGGCCAACAGGUACAUGAAAAGAUGCUCAACAUCAUUAAUCAUUAGGGAAAGGCAAAUCACAGCCAUAAUGAGAUACCACCUCAUACCUCUCAGAAUGACUGUCAUCAAAAAGACAAGAGAUUGGGACCACCCCGUGGCUGAGUGGUUAAAGUUCAGCGUACUCCGCUUCAGCAGCCUGGGUUCGAGGGUUUGGAUCCCAGGUGCAGAUCGACUUCACUCGUCAGCCGUGCUGUGGAGGCAUCCCACAUGCAAAGCGGAGGAAGAUUGGCACAGAUGUUAGCUCAGGGCUGAUCUUCCUCAAGCAAAAAAGAAAAAAAGCGGAAGACUGGUAACGGAUAUUAGCUCAAGGUGAAUCUUCCUCACCCAAAAAAAAAAAAAAAAAAAGACAAGAGACAAAUGCUGGUAAAAAAGUGGAGAAAAGGGAACCCUUGUGCGCUCUCUUGGUGGAAUGUAAAUUGGUGCAGCCAUUAUGGAAACAGUAUGGAGGUUCUUCAAAAAAUUAAAAGUAGAACUACCAUAUCAUCCAGCAAUUCCACUUCUGGGAGUAUAUCUGAAGAAAACUAAAACACUCUGUUGAAGAGAUCUCUGCACCCCUUGUUCACAGCAGCAUUAUUUACAAUAGCCAAGACGUGGAAGCAACCUAAGUGUCCAUUGAUGGAUGAAUGGAUAAAGAAGUUGUGAUAUGUAUAUACAUAUAAUGUAAUAUUAUUCGAUUAUUCAGCCGUGAAAAAUGAGGAAGUCCUGCCACUUGCGACAGCAUGGAUGGACCUUGAGGGCAUUACGCUAAGUGAAAUAAAUCAGACAGAGAAAGACAAAAACUCUAUGAUGUCACUUAUAUGUGGAAUCUAAAACAACAACAAAAACAAGCAAACUAUAGGAAAAGAAAUCAGAUUUGUGGUUACCAGAGGUGGGGGUGGUGGGAGGGGGAAUUGGUUGAGGUGUCAAAAGGCACAAACUUCGAGUUAUAGGACAAAUGAGUACUCAGAAUGUAAUGUACAACAUGAUGACUACAGUUACACCGAUGUAUAAUAUACAGGAAAGUUGUUAAGAGAGCAAAUCCUAAGAGUUCUCAUCAUGAGGAAAAAAUAAUACAUAUAUUUUUUCUAUCUGUAUGAGACGAUGGAUGUUAGGUAAACUUAUUGUGGUAAUCAUUGCAUGGUAUAUGUAAGUCAGAUCAUUAUGUUGUACAACAUAAACUUAUGCUGUAUGUCCAUUAUAUCUCAAUAAAACUGGGAAAAAAAGUUGGGCCUGGUUAAGAUGUGUGUGAG